rnacentral:rRNA from 1 species
GAUGAACGCUAGCUACAGGCUUAACACAUGCAAGUCGCGGGGCAGCAUGGGGGUUGCUUGCAAUCCCCGAUGGCGACCGGCGCACGGGUGAGUAACGCGUAUCCAACCUGCCCUUUACCACGGGAUAACCCGGCGAAAGUCGGACUAAUACCGUAUGUUGUCCAUUGACGGCAUCCGAUUUGGACGAAAGGUUUGGCGGUGAAGGAUGGGGAUGCGUCCGAUUAGCUGGACGGCGGGGUGACGGCCCACCGUGGCGACGAUCGGUAGGGGUUCUGAGAGGAAGGUCCCCCACACUGGAACUGAGACACGGUCCAGACUCCUACGGGAGGCAGCAGUGAGGAAUAUUGGUCAAUGGGCGUAAGCCUGAACCAGCCAAGUAGCGUGCAGGAUGACGGCCCUAUGGGUUGUAAACUGCUUUUAUGCGGGGAUAAAGUGGCCCACGUGUGGGUUUUUGCAGGUACCGCAUGAAUAAGGACCGGCUAAUUCCGUG